UACAGAGGUCUCAAGCGUUGUUCGGAUUCAUUGGGCGUAAAGGGCGCGUAGGCGGCGGGGUCAGUCGGGUGUGAAAUCUUGGGGCUUAACCCCGAAACGGCACUCGAAACUGCCCGGCUGGAGGGCCGGAGAGGAGAUCGGAAUUCACGGUGUAGCAGUGAAAUGCGUAGAGAUCGUGAGGAAGACCCGUGGCGAAGGCGGAUCUCUGGACGGCUAACUGACGCUGAGGCGCGAAGGCCGGGGGAGCAAACGGG
rnacentral:rRNA from 1 species